rnacentral:rRNA from 1 species
GGCAAUGCUGCGGCGUGUAUAGUCAUGCAGUCAUGGGGCCGCAAGGCACCGGCAGACGAGUAGUACACGUAGGUAGAUCCCCCAGAGUCGGGCAUAGCCAUCCGAAAGGAUGGGUAAUUCCCGAUGGUCCCGCAAGGGUAAAGAUUUAUCGCUUCGGGAGCGGCCUGCGCAGUAUCAGCUAGUUGGUAGGGUAACGGCCUACCAAGGCUAUGACGCUUAGGGGAGCUGAGAGGCUGACCCCCACCGAUGGAACUGAGAUACGGUCCUUACUCCUACGGGAGGCCGCAGUCGAGAAUCUUCCGCAAUGGACGAAAGUCUGACGGAGCGACGCCGCGUGGUGGAUGAAGUCCUUCGGGACGUAAACACCUUUUAUGAGGGAUGACAUUUCGACAGUACCUCAUGAAUAAGGGGCUCCUAACUCUGUGCCAGCAGGAGCGGUAAUACAGAGGCCCCAAGCAUUACCCGGAAUCACUGGGCGUAAAGGGUGUCAAGGCGGUUAUGUUAGUCGUUCGUAAAAUCUACGAGCUUAACUUGUAGGCGGCGAGCGAAACGGCAUAACUAGAGGUUGGGAGAGGUGCAUGGAACUCAUGGUGUAGGGGUGAAAUCCGUUGA